GUUGUGUUUUUCUCCUUUCAUUCAUUCAUCUCUUUCAACAUAUUUAUCUCAUAGGGUUGUGUUCAGCAAAUUUCAGUUGUGCGUUGAAGAUUAUGCAGUGGUUUUGCGAAAUGAGUUUGUGAAAAAGCGCGGAAUGAUGAAGAAGCGAUUUUCCUCGAGUUCGCGAUCUGCAACUGCAUACGAAGCCGAUGACGACGUGGAUGAUGAUACUUUUUUGAAUGCAUCAAGAUCUUCGAAAUCAUUCGGCCCAUAUGGAAGAAACAUGGGAAUAUCAACAGAUUCUUCAAGUAAAGCUACUUAUCAACAGAGAUACGACAGUCUACAGGAUCAGAAAACUCAAUUACUCAAUCGAAGGGCGGAAAUUGAGAGCAGAACAUUGGAAUCCACUCACAGGUCUCUAAGUUUAUUACGUGAUUCCGAAGAUGUUGGCAUCGCUACUGCUGAAGAAUUGAACAGGCAGAGAGAACAGCUUGAAAACACGGAUGCACGUUUGAAUGAAAUAAAUGAAAAUUUGCACUCUAGCAGCAAACAUAUUCAGGGAAUAUCGAGCAUUUUUGGUAGUCUAAAAAAUUACUGGACAAGCAGAAAAUCAACGGAUGAUAAAGAAAAAGAAGGACGCGCACCAGUAAGAACUCCAAGAUCGGUGUCUAUGGACGCUACUCCGAGAUCACGUAGACAUUUGCAAAAUGCAUUAGAACAUGCUAGUACAAAUAUUGAUGCAGAUGAGCAUCCAGCAUUACGUAUUAGAGGCAUUUCUUCUAGUCAAAGUAAGUCUUCCACUGAGUCAGCCGAUUUUCAAGAUGCCCUGGAUCGUAACUUAGAUGAAAUGGUUAAUUCACUAGGACGACUCAAAGGUCUCGCCGAAGGCUUAGGUCAGGAAUUGGAUUCGCAGAAUCAUCUGUUGGAGGACGUUAUCAGUAAAACUGAAAAGGCUGAUAUCAAUAUAGAAAGGCAAAACAAAGACAUUAAACGUCUAUUGAAAAAAUAAUACAUACUUACCGGAGAUUACUACUGCACACAACUUUAAUUAAUUUUAUCGCUUUGGUGUCCCAGUCCUUUGUUAUGCGCAUCAAAGGUGUGUAUUUUUGCUUCGUAUCACGCGUAUUUGUAGUAAAAUUUAGAUAUGUAUGUAUGUUUCCGGUGGUCUUCAGAAGCAGAUGUACCUACCUACCUACAUAAUCGUAAGUAGAAUUCCUAUUAGUCCAUGUCAAAGUUAGCGAUUGUCAUGAGAAUAACCAACAUUUCUUGCUAUAUGUGUUUGAUAAUUUUAUGUAAUUACGAGUAGAUAUCCUUCUUUCUUCUGCUAGGUAGUAAGAUAUUUAUAAAAAUUGAUUGUGAGAACAAUAACUGAAAAGAAUUCCUUUAUUGUGCAUUUUAUCACAGAUAUUUGUAUGAAUUAUGUCUUCCGAUAUAGGUAAUAUUAUUACUAUAUAUACUUAGUUUUAAUACAUUUAGGAUAUAAGCUUGAUAUCAUUCGAGAAUAUCGUAGUUAAUUGAAACAAGGUAGCUAGUACACCAAACUUCGAAAAAAAAUCACAAAAACAUAAAAAAUUAUUAAAGAUACCUACACAUACUGUGCAUUAAUUACAAACGCGUCUCGUCUAGAGCGAUUAUUUAUACAUCAUUUACAUAGGGUUGUUAUCUUAUUGAUCCCGAUGAAGACUUCAAAUUUUCACAAAAUGACUGGUAACUGAUUAGAAAUAACUAGGUAGCAUAACAAAUGAAUCCAGCUUUGAAAUUUUAUAGCUGCUGAUAAGCUCACGACUUGUUUUGAUGAAUUAUACAGUAGACUUCCAAUUAAUCGAGGUUAUCGACACAGGGAACUCGGAUAGGUACCCCGCAAAAUAUAAAAUCAAGCGUGUAUUUUUACACGAAAAAAACUGGAAAAAGUGCGUCAUGUAGAAAACGAGCAGUAAUUUUGGCAGAGAAAAAUAAGAAUGAUCAAUGAUUUCAGCUAUAAAAAUGUAUUUUUUUCAAAAUAAGAAAUGUUUUCAACUAGAAGUUGAUUGAAAGAUUACUGUAAACCUGCAUCUUUUACAAAUUGAUGCUCACUAGCUUUUCAAAAGUAGGUACCUAUGUAUUUUUUUAAAAAUAUUUUGUAGAAAGUGAAGUCGAAAUUUUGGUUCCUAUAAUAAUUUUUAAAUGAACUUUGCUUUCCAAGACUCAAAUUUGAUUACCACGCGUAAUUUUUGUAAUUUUUCCAAAAAAAUUGCACAGAGAAUAGAAAUUUACUGAGCAAGUGACAAUAAAAUAAUUCGAUGUUACCGAUUUUUGUUUUUAUUGUAUUAUUUUUGAGAGAUUGAAUAAAUUUGAUUAAUAUAAUUAGAAGUACCUACAUUCAUAGACACAUUUCCUAAUUAUUUAUAAUUGUUUGUUCAAUAUUAAUCGCCUAAGUUUUGUGUGUAUUUCUUCUUUUUUUUUUGGAAAAAAAAAUCUCGUGACUUGACAGUUGGAUUGAGUAGAUAUCUCUACCUAAUAAAUAUUGAGACAGAAUCAUUCGGAAAAUUUUCACACUAAUUUUCAGUCAGCCAUUUCGACUUAUUUUUCUGUACCUUCCAAUCCAACACAUGCGGCUAAAAUGCCAACUUGACAAUAAUUGAACUCAAAACAAUGUUAGAGUAAACCUUACUUAUAAUCGACUCUCUUUCCAUUCAUUAUAACCUGUCACGGCUGUCACUGGGCUAUCGAUAUCGAUACGCAGUAGGUAUUGUUGUUUCAUUUGGAAUGAAAAUACUUGUACAAGUAUGUCUAACGUAGGUAGGUCUCUGUGUAUAAUCUUGAAAAAAUACUCUAAACAUUACUAAAUUUCAAACUCACGUUUGCAAUUGUUCUUCUGCGUUGAAGAGCUCUUCACAAAGAUUUCUUUUGAAACUAACUAUAGGUAUCGAUUUCGUUUGGCAACAAAUUCACUGAAAAUACAUACGAUGAAGAUUGGUAGAUAUUAGAUAUUUUGUACAUCUCCAACAGUCAAGUUCGAGGAAUUAUUAUCAUAAUUAAGUGUGCCUAUUUACCUUUUUGCCUUUAUGUUUUCUAGCUUAUCGGAAUGUCAAUUUUUACCGGUCCUUCCGUAAUUCUAUUUGUCUUGCGUUUACUCGUAUUUUUCACUGGUCUAACGUUAUUAUUAUAUCGCAGAGCAUUGGUAGUUGGUUGUACUGUACUGAUUUCACCGGUGUCUUCUUGAAUAUCUUUUUUAUUGCGUACGAAGAUUUCUUCAUCUUCGUUGAUUGAAUUAGUCUUCAAAUUUAGUCUUGCUAGGAUGAAAUCGUAUUGGUUAUUUAGGCUGAUACGAAUAAUUUGCAGACAUCUUCUGUCAUAGUUCAUCAAGUAACCAGGUGGGCACCCGAAUGUAGGCGCGAUAAAAACUGAUUUGGGUACCAUUUUGCGAGACGUUGGGUCGUCUUCGAAGUCGGUUGCGAUUCUAGAUUUACGAAUGCUGGCAGUGUGCCUUGGUUGCCAUAAUGUUGAGAAUAUCAUUAAACUUAUUGUGAGGUAGACGAUGCAAGAAUCCAUGAGUGUGCUGAAAAAGAAAAAAAUUGAAUUGAUUAAAAUUCAAAAUCCUGUUUCACAAAACUAAAAAAUAAUAAUAAUAAAAAAAAAACAAGAACUUUUUUUUUGAAAAGUAGCCACGUAAACAUAUUGAAUAUUCUAUACCUUUCAAAAAUAUUUUUACAUUUUUUAACCAACAGAAAUUCAUUUUUUAAAAUAAAGUCUUCCGAUCAUCACUUCAGUAGGCUUUAAAAUCAAAACAUUCAAUUAGGUACAAGUGUCUAAGUAAGUAUGUACUUGAAAAAACAAAGAAACUGAAGUUGACUUUUUGCUCUAUUUUUUCAGAAACUGAAACGUAUAACAACGCUGAAUCCUAUUCAUUAUCAUUAACGACGUGUUUAAAAUAACUUAACUCAUCUCCUCGCAUAAAAUUUUAGUAGCUAGAUAUUUAUUUUUUUUUUAAUGGAUAGGAACGUUUCAAAAUGGACAUACCUACUUUGCCUUUUUUUGGAUAACUGAGUAAGUACAAAUUAUCUCUCAGGUAGUGCUAUUUUUUCAUUUUUACCAUUUUAUAAACUGGGUCUUGUUAUGGUGAAAAAAUUAAGAAACAAAUUUACGAGUACCUACCUAUGCUAGCAGUGUGUUCGAUUUGGCUUGAUUCAGUCACCUACAUAUGUAUUUUAAACGGGCAAGUUCGCUACCUGAUCACCCCUUUAGUAAUGCUCAAGAAACGACAUUAUGUAGGGACUAUUAAUUUUCAGCAAAGUAAAGAUACUUUAAGAAACCUUAACAGGGUAUCUGUAGUGGUGAAAAAUCACCUUCAUUAAAAACUCAAAUGUUUAGAAUACUUGGUUUCAUUUUUUCCGUUGAAUUUCCAAUCAAUUUUUGACCCUACCUCAAACACAAAACAUAAUGAAUGGAGAAAUUGUUUUUAUAUUAUUUAAAAUACCAAAAGAGACCUACAAGUAUUUGAUUUAUUACGCUCAUUCUCUAGAGAAAAAAAAAAUCAAAAUUUGUUUAGAAUAUUUUGAGCUUAGAUAAGUAUAGUAAGUACCUAUUUCAUUAAAGUGCUUAAGAAAAAAGUGAAAUGACUCAUUGAUGUACCAAGAAAAUAAAUUUCAUUACCUUUGAGGAGAUUUCUAAGAAUUUUUGUAGUUGAUUUUAAAUUUUAUCUUUUUUUAAAAUUUUGCCGUAAUAAAAAAUAAAAAUAAUUUCCGAAGCUACAUAAGUAGGUACAAUAAAAAAGUCAGAAACAAAAAUUAGGUAUAAUUUUAAACAAAAUUUGGGUACCUUGGUAAUGAUUAAUGAAAAAUGAAUUUUGAAGAAACUUGUUAUCUUUUGAAUAUCCUUUGCAUCUCAGGGACUCAGGGUCAUCAUUUCACUUUGGAACUCCCAUCAAAAUUCCUCUUAUCACAUCAACUUCAUCAAUUUUUAUUUAGAAAUUCAACUGAUUUUUUUAUUCGUUAAUUCGUCAUCGCACGUAUUAAUUUGGGAAUCAUUUUAUCGACACGAUCACACUGUACAGAAAAAUUUACCUGUAUCAAAUCGAUAUUCCACAAAAAGUAAUGAGUACAACUUAGGUAUUUCAAUCUUUUCAUGAAAGAUUCACUACAACUCGCGUUAGGUAUCUUAUUUUUAAAACACUUGAAAAAAAAAAUCGCCGCGAUUUCGAGGUGUUCACAUUUUCAAUACUUGUUGACAACUGAGCUGAAAAACUAGUUUAACCUUGUCGCCGUCUAUCAUAGUGUUAAGGGGUGGGUUUACUUUGCAGUUACCUAGGAGUAACAUAUUUUGUAACAGCACAAAGGUUGAGUCAUAAUAGAACCUGUUCAAAUGAAGGGAGGGUUAGAAACGAAAGAAUUAAGUAAACAAUUAUCUACUGAUAGUUUGUCGCUAAAGCAAACUAAGACGAGUAUAAUGAUAGGUCAUUUGAAAAUUUAACUUGAUGUAAACUCUCGAGGCAUUUCGAUUUUAUCGCUGUCAAAUUACACAUACUGUAUAUUUCGAUGAUUUCCAAUCAAUUACAUGGGAGAUGAAUGAAAAUUAGUCAGCAAUAAUGUACCUAUGAUUUGUGUUUAAAUUCAAAAAUACCUGAAGACGGGGAGGGUAUAAAUUGUUUGAUUAAAUAGGUACGUUCUUAAUUUGUACGCUUUGAACCGUGCAGAAAUGGAUAACUGGUAAGGGCACGUGGUUUAGUGCUAUUUUUACAGACUCACGUGCCAUCGAUUCUGAAUAAUCUCAGCGUAGUUAUAUAAUUUGUUAUCUUUUGAAUUGAGAAUUUAUGGUAUUUUAUCGUUGACUUUUCUAAAUAGGUACGUUGAUAAAAAAGCACCUCCACCUAUUUAGACGGUUCAUUUCUAUUCAAUACGAUUUUCACCAGUAUACCUACACCUAUACCUACUUAUUUACUGCUAUACCGAAGUACGUAGGUACAAAAAUAAGGUAUAUAAUUAUACCAUCGCUGUAUGAAUAUCAUAGACCAAUUUUUUUCUCGCUUUUUCUCGCUUCUGUGAUUUUAUUUAUUUUUUUCUUUUUAUACUAUUUUCUUCUAUUUUAUGUAGGUAAUGAAACCCUUUCCUUUCAAUGGUCAAUUCUUCAUUCCAUGUCAAUUCUAUUUUAUGUUUAUCUGUGUGACUGUUUUAAAACAUUUAUUUGCUGAUUAAUUAAUUUUAAGCUGUGUUUUUCUGUACAAUCAUUUUUAUGUUACCUUCAAUAAAUGUGUGUCAAUUA